rnacentral:rRNA from 1 species
AUUGAACGCUGGCGGCAUGCUUUACACAUGCAAGUCGAACGGUAACAGGGAGCUUGCUCCGCUGACGAGUGGCGAACGGGUGAGUAAUGCGUCGGAACGUGCCGAGUAGUGGGGGAUAACGCAGCGAAAGUUGUGCUAAUACCGCAUACGUACUGAGGUAGAAAGUGGGGGACCUUCGGGCCUCACGCUAUUCGAGCGGCCGACGUCUGAUUAGCUAGUAGGUGAGGUAAGAGCUCACCUAGGCGACGAUCAGUAGCGGGUCUGAGAGGAUGAUCCGCCACACUGGGACUGAGACACGGCCCAGACUCCUACGGGAGGCAGCAGUGGGGAAUUUUGGACAAUGGGCGAAAGCCUGAUCCAGCCAUGCCGCGUGCAGGAUGAAGGCCCUCGGGUUGUAAACUGCUUUUGUACGGAACGAAAAGGUUUCUAUUAAUACUAGGAGCUCAUGACGGUACCGUAAGAAUAAGCACCGGCUAACUACGUGCCAGCAG